UACGUAGGUGACCAGCGUUGUCCGGAUUUACUGGGCGUAAAGAGCGCGCAGGCGGUCGUUCAAGUCGAGUGUGAAAGCCCCCGGCUCAACUGGGGAGGGUCACUCGAUACUGAUCGACUGGAAGGCAGGAGAGGGAAGCGGAAUUCCCGGUGUAGUGGUGAAAUGCGUAGAUAUUGGGAAGAACACCGGUGGCGAAGGCGGCUCACUGGCUCAUUACUGACGCUCAGGCGCGAUAGCGUGGGGAUCAAACAGG
rnacentral:rRNA from 1 species